CAGAAUCCAACUCAAAUUGUUACUGAAAUCUGUGGAUUUGUAACUAUCCUUUCUGGAACCUUUCUUCUUCACAGAACAAAGGACAUGGUUGAGGGUUCAUCACCAUCUCUAUCAUCGCGACUUCCCAAGCACACACAAGACAAUGUAUUUGAACCUGAAGGUAUCCCUCUUCGACGUUAGGAACCCCCACGACAUACUUGGCUGUAUGUAGUGAUUCAUUGGUCUACUUUCAUUCAAGAUCUUGCAUGUAUUUGGGGGGAGUGUUGGAUCCACGCCAUUAACAUGUACAUUACCAACACAUUGAGCUGGUCGC
rnacentral:misc_RNA from 1 species